rnacentral:rRNA from 1 species
UACGUAGGGGGCAAGCGUUGUCCGGAUUCAUUGGGCGUAAAGAGCGUGUAGGCGGCCAGGUAGGUCGGUUGUGAAAACUGGAGGCUCAACCUUCAGAGGUCGACCGAAACCAUCUGGCUAGAGUCCGGGAGAGGAGAGUGGAAUUCCUGGUGUAGCGGUGAAAAUGCGCAGAUAUCAGGAAGAACACCCGUGGCGAAAAGCGGCUCUCUGGGGCCGAUACUGACGCUGAGGAGCGAAAAGCGUGGGGGAGCGAAACAGG